rnacentral:sRNA from 2 species
GCACCUGCAAAAUCAGGUGUCAGGAUUGGCGUCCUGAUUACACACGAGAAAUGAUGUUGAUACGUCAACUAU